AGUUGCCUUGAAAUCUUCAGGGGAAUGUCCUCAUGACACCACCUAUGAAGAAUCUAAACCCCAAAUCAAAUUCCUCAGGAGGACCAAAGUCUUCAAGAGGAUCAAAAUCCUCAACUGGUCAAAACUAUGCUCGUACCCGUGCUAAUUCAUCUAACAUGCAGGGAAAUUACAAGGAAUAUGAAUAUGAGCGUUAUUCUUUAAAUCAUUAUGUUCAUAAAUCCUCAAAGAAAUUAUCUGCAUAUUCAUUUGAGUACUUUAA
rnacentral:lncRNA from 1 species